rnacentral:sRNA from 1 species
UGGGAGAGGCACCUCAACUUUGAUGUCCAGAGCCUUGAGUGGCCACUCGCAAGCUGGCCAAGGGCUUCACACAACUUGCCAAGAUGACAGAGGGGACCAAGAAGACCAGCAAAAAAGUUCUUCAAGUUCAAGGGCUUUGGGAGUCUCUCCAACCUCCCUCGGUCCUUCACUCUGAGACGAUCCUCAGCUCCCAUCAGUAGGCAGUCCCACCUGGAGCCUGACACCUUUGAAGCCACCAGGCCAGGAGCUAUGGGGAGAGGCUAAAGGAACUGUCAGAAAAUGGGGCCCCUGAAGGGGACUGGGGCAAGACCUUCACAGUCCCCAUUGUGGAAGUCACUUCUUCCUUCAACCCAGCCACCUUCCAGUCACUACUGAUCCCCAGGGAUAACCGGCCGCUGGAGGUGGGCCUUCUGCGCAAGGUCAAGGAGCUGCUGGCGGAAGUGGAUGCCCGGACGCUGGCCCGGCAUGUCACCAAGGUGGACUGCCUGGUUGCUAGGAUACUGGGCGUUACCAAGGAGAUGCAGACCCUAAUGGGAGUCCGCUGGGGCAUGGAACUGCUCACCCUCCCCCAUGGCCGGCAGCUACGCCUAGACCUGCUGGAAAGGUUCCACACUAUGUCCAUCAUGCUGGCCGUGGACAUCCUGGGCUGCACCGGCUCUGCGGAGGAGCGGGCAGCGCUGCUGCACAAGACCAUUCAGCUGGCGGCCGAGCUGCGGGGG